GAUCUUGCCACAACAGCAGUAUUACUUUGUCACACACAUAAAUGCCACACACACCAUAGGCUGAUAGGUGGUUUUUGCGCUGCCCACCACCCUGCGUAGAUGGGGCUGGUUUCACCAACUCCUAAGCAAAAGAGGCAAUGUUUAAUAGAAGAGGAGGCAAAGGGGGAGCAGUGGCACUCAGUCUGGCUAGUGACCACUAUUUUUAUUUCCCGCAGUUACUAUAAUGGGAAGACAAGACAGGAGUUAUCAUGUAGCUUAAUUCCUGGGAUGCUUCAGGAGGAAAAUGGUGGCCGUCACUAGUAUUUCUCCCAAAAGUUUCCAAGGAAUGAUGGAACAUGCUGGCACAGGAAUAUUCUGUCAGGACUUGUCAGAAAUGAAAAUAGCAACUGACAGCUGUCCAGAGAAGUGCCUCUGUCUGUGUAAAACUUACAGCAGUGGUGAAGUGGGGGAUGUUUUAAGAGAAAUUCUCCUACCCCAAAUUCUAGUCAAAAGUUCCUGCUAAGAACUUAUUUGCACUAAUAUUUGUAGGAAAAAAUGCUCCACCCAGCAAGUAGAAGCUUACAAAAGUGAGGUGUCUUGUCUCUUUGUUCUGUAUAUAGCCCAAGAAAACAGUGUUCUGCUGUGCUCGUUUCUCUGGCCUGCAGUAUUAGGCAAAACUCUAGGGAUUUCCUUUCACUGCUAAACAUCUGAGGAGCUGAAUGGAAAACCCUGGGGUUUAGGGCAGAAGGGAGCCUACCUUUUUCUCUUCAGCUAUUGUGGAGCCUUAAGAGCCAGGCUUUCUUGGGAGAAGGCUGGCUUUACAUUCUAAAGUGCGCUCUGAGGGAAAUCUGAAUUCCCCACAUGGCCUGUGAAAUAACUUUCCAUCCUCCCUCGCCGUCUCAGGCUGCCACAGCGCUGACAAUUGAGCAAAGGGUGAGUUCUGAAAGGUUUGGAAUGGUUUUUACAGCUGGAGGGUGCUGGGGAAACUUGCACCUUGGAUUCUGCCUCUCUCUUUUUGCUUCGUUUCGAAGACGUAUAAUUUACCUGCCCUGCUCCAUCUUUCCUAAACCCUUCAUCCUCCUGCAUUUCAAAGCAACAGCAGGAAGGCAGACAAUGGCUUUGGCAGGAUAUCGGUUAGACACCCAGAUGUAUAGUAUAUUAUGCCGGGCUGACUUACGUUGCCUCUCAAACAUUAUAGCAUCAUCUCCUGGUUUUAAAAGCUCGCGUCUCCGAAAAGGGGCAGCAGUGGUGGUGAUGAAUAAAUAUUGCUGUAGCAGCAUGCACAAGUGAUAUUCUGGGAAGCAACCAAAUGAGUCAGUUUAGCUGACACAAAGUCACUUUGAUUGUUCUCCCUCCCAUCUGUUCCUGAAAUGGAUGAAAGCGUUUGCUGUAUUGGAAGUGCCUUUUUGACCUGAUGCACUGUACAUAUUUGCCUUUGAAACAAACACACACAGAUCUCCCUAAUACUUUGAUUAGACUGUGUUGGACUAUGAGUAGGGAUAUGCAAUCAAUCGCAGUUUGCAGUUAAAAGUUAACCUACCUAAUUCACACCUUCCAAAGCAAUACACAAACUGAAACACAGUCAUCCUUUGAAAUUCUCACUUCUAAUUUUACUGUGCAGUUUUUCAGCCAAGUAAUGAGUACAAAAUGCAUAAGCUAGGAUAAAAUGUGCUUAAAAAGCAUAUAUUGGUGGAUACAAGACACAACAAUGGGUGGGGGGGAGCUUGACUGAAAUCCCUACUCAGCCAUGAAGCUGACCUUGGAUUAAUCAUUUCCUCUCAGCCCAUCCUACCUCACUGGGUUGUUGUUCUAAUGAAAUAGAAGGGGAAGGAAUGGCGCAUGUCGCCUUUUGCUUCAUGGAAGAAAGGUGGAGUAUACGGUAAAUGCAGUACGAGUAAACCCAUUGUUUCCUGUUCUCUAAUGGGAUGUGUCAUUCAGUUCCUGCUGUGUACAUCAACCUUAAAAAAUAUAUUACUGUUAUCUCAACAAAAACACAACUUUGCUGCUUGUUAAUGAAUUGCAGCCUUAUACCUUGUCAUCCAAGUUAGACACAGUUAGUGAGAAAUUGUCAGCCAUGCUGUCAGAACGAGCCACACGGUUGAAAACCCACAUAUACCAAAUGGCAAUAUUAAUGUACUUAGAUUUGUUGUGUCUUAUCUGCAAGAACAGUUCAAGAAUCGGAGGUGUGUGGGAGUGGGAGGCGGGUGGUGGAGGAGAAGAAAGGAGGUAAGGGGAACCUAAAGCAGAUUUUUUUGUAGUGGGAAACUCUGCAUUCCUUCAAAGAAUUAAAAACAGAUUCCCAGGCAGAGUCCCAGAAUCCUGGCACAAUGAAGAGCACACACAGUAAGGGAUAAAAACUGUGAGCAGGCAUUUCAGUGAGGAAGGACUAGAAAAGGUAUUAUUGGGGUUAGGGGAAGCCGGGGUAAAUAUAUAUUUCAAAACAGAUACCUUAAAACAGAUACCUUUGGUACCUUAAAGCCUUAAAAAUGAAAAUGUAUGAACACAUUCUUUUAAGAUGAGCUGCAGAUUGCUUAGUCUGUCCCCACUGUGGAAUGUUUAAUAUUGUUAUUUUUAUUGAUUUGGUUUACUUUUUGUAUUUUUAAAUAUGGAAUGAUGCUAUGUGUUUUGUUUUGCUUUUUUUGCAAGGCACUUAGAAAAUCUUCUUGGUGGCUGGGAUUAUCGAACAAUUAAUGAAUUGAUUAAUGCUAAACACAUUACUGUGGAGAUGGACUCUGCUCUCUGAAUACACAUUAUGUUAGCAAAGGAGAGUGGGCCACACUUAUAAGAGGUCAAGCUGUUGUGAACCACUACAUGUCCUAUUCCCUGUGAGCCUGGGUCUUCAAUUAUAAUUGUGUGGGAGGGGGAAAAGAGAGGAGAUGCAGUCUCCACAUGCUCAGAGUGACUUCUCUUGAUAGGUUCCGGGUAGGGGACAAAUCAGAUUCAGUUCACAUUUAAAUUCAAAUUCGUCAAAUGUACACUUUCCAAAGCCACAGGAGAACAGAGAACAGCCACCCUUCAGAAGUUGCCCUUAUACUUGUUUUGCAAUGUAGUUCUCCAACUAACCAUGUUCUAAAAAUGCAUAGAUUAGGCGAAAGUGUGUGUGAAAUUGGAUAUAUUAGCAAAACUAACAUUCAAAAUGCAUUAUAUCACUGAGAUGCCUUAUAUUAGGAAAAAUUGCUUUCAAAAAAUGUGUGUGUUAGUCAAAACUGCAUACAAAAAUGUGUUUGUGAGGAGAAAUCUGCCCUCAGUUGCUGAAGAAUUAUUUAUUGCUUGAAUCGUAUACCCAAACCAGGGCACUAGCCUUUACAGCACCUACACACCAUAUUGUGCUAUAAUAGCCUCGACAGCUAGUAUAUUUAUACUUGCAGCCUUUGUUGUCAAUUUCCCCCCAUAUGCACAGUUUAAAAGGACAUUUGAUUUCCUGCAGCUGAGUGCUCACAUUAGCAUGUAAGCGCAUAACAUACCAAUUUGACAGGGUGGCUGGAUAUUGCAGAUGGUGUGUGUGUGUGUGUUGCUGUCACUUUCAUUUCAGAAGUUGCUUGUAGAAACUAAUAUCUGAGAAACUGUUGGUGAUUAAUCUGAUCAGCCACAACUAGUUAACGUGAACUGAAAUCCCACGGAGGUGACAGGAGCACAAACCCACCUCAGUCAUUCAGAAGUGUGGGGUGGGGUGUUUGAGUAUCUAGACUAUCUUCCUAGCGGCUGCAUUGCUUCCACUUAUUUGGAAGAAGAGGGGAAGCAGAAGGUGUCAGAAGUAUCUACACCUUGUAGAUACACAGGUGGAGCCCAUCCAUGCUCCCAUCAGUGUACGAGAACUGUAGUGACCUUCCUACCACCUCACUGCUCUCAGUAAGGGUGCAUUCAGACAUGGGGAAUAAUACACUAAACUUCAUUCACACCGCUUCUCCUGUGAUUUCUCCACAAAAGCAUCAGGGAAGGCUUGUAUGCUAUUAUACUGUCCCCCAAAUUUUAUCACUUUACUUUUGUGUGUUUCCAGGUUAAGGGGCCUGCAAAUUGAUCCUUCCCCUCCAGAAUUAAAUAACACAAAAAUGAGCACUUAGAAUACACAGUACAGUGGUACCUCAGGUUAAGUACUUAAUUCGUUCCAGAGGUCCGUUCUUAACCUGAAACUGUUCUUAACCUGAAGCACCAUUUUCGCUAAUGGGGCCUCCUGCUGCUGCCGUGCCACCGCCGCACAAUUUCUGUUCUCAUCCUGAAGCAAAGUUCUUAACCCAAGGUACUAUUUCUGGAUUAGCAGAGUCUAUAACCUGAAGCGUAUGUAACCUGAAGCGUAUGUAACCCAAGGUACCACUGUAUUACUUUUCUGGAAGUGGCUUUUGCUUCACGUGAAAACUCAAAUAUCAUGCAGAAAUAAGCAGUUAGGGAAACAUCGGGGAAGUGGAAUACACUGCUGUGUGAAUGCAACCUAAGUGGCCAGAAAGCUAGUGUUGCUUCUCUGCCUUCCUUGGCAAGCAUUAGUCUCCAUGCAACUCAACAUCUUGGAGGAAUGCGUGCGGAGGGGCUGUCUUGUCAAGCACACGUAGGCUCUCCCUGUGAGCUUGACACCUUGUGCGAUGGCCAUCUGCAUAGCAUUCGCUUCCAGUAUUCCUUUCUCCUCUUCCUAGGCCACAUCCUUCCACAGAAAGAAUUGACAGAAACUUCCCCUGUGGCCCAAGGCCCUUAGCAUUCAAAACUGUCUCUGGCAGUAUCAUUUGUUCCUACGUGGUUCAGGAGGAAAGGAUCCUGGCCAGUGGGCUAGAUGAGUUUUGGCAAGCUUUUUUUGGUCACAUCCUAGAUACGUUCUCACUUUACGUUUUUAGGGAGUACACUUUUUUUAAAAAACAAACCCUUAGUUGUACACCUAGGAGGGUAAAAAUAAUGCGUGAAGCAGCACUUUAUAAUUGUGAAAGCCUUCACAGUCUCAUAGUCCCACAGUACUUAACAUCAAAAUGACUUGCCACACGAUAGAGACUGGAUGUCUUAUUAAUCAAAAAUUAGAUUAAUAAAAUAGGUAUUAAUAAUAACAAUCCAAAAUGUAUUUAUUGUAUUUUUAUCCUGCACUUCCUCCAAGGAGUUCAGAGUGGUUCAUAUUUUUCUCUUCUUUGCCCCUGUUUUUUUUUUUUUUUUUUUUUUUUACAACAGUCCUGUGAGGUAGAUCCAUCUGGGGCGGAGAGACUGAAUGGCCCAAAGUCACCCAGUGGGAGAUAAAUGAUUGAGUGAGAAUUUCAACCUGAGUCUCCCCAGAUUCAGUCUAAGAAGUCCUCAUAAUGCCUCCACCAUUUUGGCUUGUUUAAUGCAGAAGAGUAGUCUCAAACCCAGCCAAGUAAUAAAGCCAGCAAAGAAUCCAGUUUAUUGACUGGAAAUAAGCCCUUCUGAACUUGGUAGGACUUGUUUACGAGUAACUGGAUUGUGCUGUUAGAAGCACACAGUGUGGCUGCCUGUUUCAUUGAGUGAAAUGCAGAAUGUGAGCAGAUUUGAUAUGACAAAUAAACAUUCUCAGCAACAGUAUGUACAGGAGGAUUUUUUUAAAAAUAUUUAAUCACCUGCAAAGUGAUUUGUGUCUUAACUCUUAAGAGCAGCUCUGCUUCUGAAAUCUCGUGUGGCUUUUCCGUUCAGUCUCUUGUUAUCAGAACUGGCGGGAUCUUCCCAACCCCACUGGAAAGAAAAUGAAAUCAGCAAGCACACAACUCAUCUGUGCUGCUCUGUUGAUGUUCUUCCUUGGAGGUUUUUAAGCAGAGGUUGGAUGGCCAUCUGUCAUGGAUGCUUUAGCUGAGAUUCCUGCAUUGUGGGGGGGGGGGGGGUUAGACGAGAUGAACCCUUGUGGUCCUUUCCAACUCUAAGAUUCUAUAAUUCUGUUAUUCCUAAUGCCAAUAAUUUAUCAGUUUCUCUCCGCCAUACAUUUGCUGCAAUG